CAGAGUUGCAAAACUCCCUAAACCAUUGUGAACGUUACCUAAACCGUUGCUUCGGCGGGCGGCCCGGGUCCUUCCCGGCGCCCCUCGGCCCUCGCGGGCGCCCGCCGGAGGUAAACCAAACUAUUGCAUUGUAUGGCCUCUCUGAGUCUUCUGUACUGAAUAAGUCA
rnacentral:misc_RNA from 1 species